rnacentral:rRNA from 2 species
UACGUAGGGGGCUAGCGUUGUCCGGAAUCAUUGGGCGUAAAGCGCGCGUAGGCGGCCCGGUAAGUCCGUUGUAAAAGUCAAAGGCUCAACCUUUGAAAGCCGAUGGAUACUGCCGGGCUCGAGUCCGGAAGAGGCGAGUAGAAUUCCUGGUGUAGCGGUGGAAUGCGCAGAUAUCAGGAGGAAUACCCAUAGCGAAGGCAGCUCGCUGGGACGGUACUGACGCUAAGGCGCGAAAGCGUGGGGAGCGAACAGG